AUUGAACGCUGGCGGCAUGCCUUACACAUGCAAGUCGAACGGUAACGCGGGGCAACCUGGCGACGAGUGGCGAACGGGUGAGUAAAGCAUCGGAACGUGCCCAGUAGUGGGGGAUAGCCCGGCGAAAGCCGGAUUAAUACCGCAUACGACCUAAGGGUGAAAGCGGGGGAUCGCAAGACCUCGCGCUAUUGGAGCGGCCG
rnacentral:rRNA from 1 species